rnacentral:rRNA from 1 species
UACGUAGGGCGCAAGCGUUGUCCGGAAUUAUUGGGCGGAAAGAGCUCGUAGGCGGUUUGUCGCGUCUGCCGUGAAAGUCCGGGGCUCAACUCCGGGUCUGCGGUGGGUACGGGCAGACUAGAGUGAUGUAGGGGAGACUGGAAUUCCUGGUGUAGCGGUGAAAUGCGCAGAUAUCAGGAGGAACACCGAUGGCGAAGGCAGGUCUCUGGGCAUUAACUGACGCUGAGGAGCGAAAGCAUGGGGAGCGAACAGG